UAUAUUAUAUCCAAUUUUGGAUUAAAAAUUAAAUUAUUCUAGUUCAUCGUCCGGCGGCAACCAUGGCGGGUCAAGAGGAUCCGGUGCAGCGGGAGAUUCACCAGGACUGGGCGAACCGAGAAUACAUUGAGGUCAUCACCAGCAGCAUCAAGAAAAUUGCGGACUUUCUCAACUCAAUAUAUGUCUUGUCGUUCAAGACUUGCAACACUGAACGAGAAAUUGACAGCCCUUGAACGGAGAAUAGAGUACAUUGAAGCGCGGGUGACAAAAGGUGAGACCCUCACCUAGAGCUAUGCCAUGCUGCUGCUGGGAAGUUGCUUCAUGGAACGCAACAGGGCUUUGGGUUCUGCCAUGUACGUCGGUGUGUGAUGUGGCAUGUGGGAAGACAUCCAGGGAAGCUCUUAGAACCAACAUUAGGCAUUUUAUCUUUGAAGUAACAUUUUGUAGAACUAUCUGUCAAUGUAUGAGGCGCUCAGAGCCAGACGCCUGGGACUCUGUUAAGGUCCUCCCCACCUCUCUUUCUCUCAGACUUUUCUUACAGCUCUCAUUGCCUCUGCAUUGAUUCUGGAAACAGUCUUUGUCUCCUUUUCACCUUUGGUGGGGUUUGGGAGGCAGUCCUGGCCGAGACACUUAUGCCCUGGCAAGGUGGCCGCCAGAGAAUGUUGUUGCUAACCCACCAGUUUCUUGUCCUUCCAGGCCCCCACUUGGCUUGAAGGGACAUGUUCAGAAUUUUCUUUCUGUCACUUGGGGUAUCUUUGCCUCUCAUAUUUCCCUAAUAAACUCCUCAACUUUAAAAAAAAAAAAUUAAAUUAUUCUAAGCUGAAUGAAAUAAUCAUGGCUC
ensembl:lincRNA